AAGUUAUUCAUCUAUAUAUACUAAAAAGGUUUAUACUUUUCAUUUUAGAAUACUUAGCUUAUGAUGGAUGAUAUUCCCACUAUUUCUAGAGAGGUUAACCUAAUAUUGACUCCUCUUCAGAUAACAAGCCAUGUCCCAACCUCACUUAAUGAUUGUACAGGGGGUAUAUUGACUCCUCAUCAGGUAACAAGCCAUGUCCUAACCUCAGUUAAUGAUUGUACAGGUGGUGAUUUAUCCAUCAUUAAUAAAAGAAAAAGAUGGCAGAUCAAUCAAAAAAAGAAACGCACUAGGGAUAGCGAGGAC